CCUCCCACCUCCACCUCACCCAGCACCUCCGCCCGCAGGUGCCAGGACCUUUUAUGCAGAACCACGUCGCACCCGGUGAACUGGGUUCUGAAGGUGCGUGGGAGGCUGAGCGGCCCUGCCCUCCGACUUGAGUCUGCCUAUAGAUCCCACAUGUCCCCGUUGGAGAAGUUCACCCGCCAAAAUGUCAAUAAUAUCAGCUGACUAAAUAUGAGGAAGUGGCACAUGAGGAACUUAUGCCGGAGAAAGAUUUUCCUGCUGUGUCAUCCUGACCUUCCACUCCUGGAUGACAAGCCAACACAAACUGUGUUGAUAUUGGUAUGAUAUUUUGAUUAUGGGAGAAAUAACCAGCAACUAACCCGUGAAAUGGGAUGUACAGAUAGAAGUCAAAAUCAUGGUCAAUCAUGUCCAAAUGUAAUAAUAAUCAUAAUCAUAAUAAUAAAAGGAGCCUAUUGUAGGCAAGUAGUAAUUUGUAAU